rnacentral:tRNA from 2 species
AGAAACUUAGGAUAACAGAACAAAACCGAAGGCCUUCAAAGCCUUAAAUAAGAGUUUAAAUCUCUUAGUUUCUG